GCUGUCGUUUUCUAUCCUCUCUCUUUAGAAAAUGAGCAUGCGUGAAUUUUAAGUUAGACCCACAAUCAAUUUAAAAAAUUAAAUUAAACAUAAUGCGUGAGCCAAUAAAGUAUUAACAAGAAAUUUUUUUUCUCUCACCUCUCUUUUAGCUGGAAUAGAAACCACAAACUCACUCACGCACGCACUCUUUACUUCCCUUUUGACAAACCACAUAAUCACACCCACAAUCAACAAUCAGCCACGCACUCUUACUUUCCGUUUGACAAACCACAUACGACGGACGAGCCCACAGACGACGGACCACCACCAUCACGUGAUCGAGGAAGUAGAACUCACGCGGUGGUGCGUUGGAGCCGCGGUUCUUUCGAGCUAAAAGGUCGGCGUUCCUGUUGGUUUUCGUCGGCGAGGAUGGUAGGGAAACGACGGUCGGCUUCCAAGCUUCAGAUCAAUACCUUGAUCGGCCGGUGGAGUUGUCGGGAUCGUGAAAUCCAACCGGGUCACGUUCGUGGAUCGGGUUGGGUCGGGUUCGCGAUUUUUGAGCUAAAUCGACGGCGUUCUUGUUGGUUUUCGGCGGCAAGGAUGGCAGGAAAACGAGGGCCGACUUCCAAGCUUCAGAUCAAUACCUUGAUUGGCCGGUAGAGUGGCCGGGAUUGUGAAAUCCAACCGGGUCACGUUCGCGGGUUGGGUUCGUGGGUCAAAUUGGGGCAACCUCUCUCCCUUCUCAUCUCCUCAUCCACUCACAAAGCGCCACACCACGGCUCCCCUUAGCCAGGUUAUUGUUGCUGGAAUUUUUUUUGCUGGAAGUGUUAUUGGAAUUUUUUUUGCUGAAAGUGUUACUGGUGCUGGAGUUGUUGCUGCUGGAAUUUUUUUUUUUUUGUGUUUGUGUGUUUUUGUUUGUCUCUGUUUCUAUUCCUGUCUCAACUACAAGCUUCUAUAAUAAGUGUUUGGCCUCGGCACAAAAUCAAUGUUUGUAAUAGAGAUAAUCAAUAAAAGUCAGUUCAGUUUUCCAAUUUUGUCCGUUUGGCCUGGGCACAAAAUUUUUUAUGUUCUGAUUUAUUUUCGAAACAGAGCAGAACUCACAACGUGCUGCCCAGCUGAAAUGAAUUGAAGCAAAGCAGAGCGACAUCGUUUGAUGAAAAGGGAAUGCUCACACGGUGCUAAGCUGAAAUUAAGAGGAAAAAUGAUUAAAAUUAGUUUCCUAUCCUCUCUAUCUCUCUGGGGAGAUUUGCUGGAUAAAGUAUAAGGAAAAAGAUAAAAUGAAGAAAUUUGAGCUGCUUUUCCAUUUUCUUAUUCUUUAUUUUAUUAUUUAUUAUGGUCCCAUGCAUUUUCGAAUUGGCGUAAGGCAACGCGUGAAACCACGCUAGUUUUUGUCGUCCUUUAGUCUUCCUUUAGUUUGUUUACCAUUUUCCUAUAAGUAAACUCAUUAAUUUUGGCCUUAAAAGGGAACACAAACACAUCAUCCCCUCAUUAGGGCAAAGUCAAUAAUCUAAUCGUGCCAGCAAAUAAAGUUUGGCAAUGCUUCCUCGUUGUGUUUGUUAGAUGGACACAACGGCAACAGCAUGCAUUAUCAAUCACAUGGAUCAUUACCCAGAUUCUUAACGUGUGGACCCCCCGGCACCCCCGUCUAAUGUCUAAUCUAAUUGGCUUUUUAGCUGAAAUCGUGCCCACGUGGCGCCAUAAAACACCUUUCAGAUAUCUCAACAAUUUUUCAACGCUUUUAAAAUUGAUUUGGUUUAGAUAUCAUGAAAUAAAUGGUCUUAAUAAAUACAUCAUGGUUGGAUAAAAAGAAAAUAAUUGAGAAAGAUAAUUUAACACUUUUAUAUCAUUUUCUUAAAUAAUUGGGGGAUUAACAAUUUUGUUAUUCCAUGCUCACCUUAAAUCAUGUUAUCAUAUGAACUUUGAGAAUAAUGGAUGAUCCAUGUUUGAUUUGUUGAUGUUAUUGUAAUUCAGUAAUUUUCAUCGAACCUUCUCAUUUUUUAUUUAAAUA
rnacentral:lncRNA from 1 species